CCCUACGGGAGGCAGCAGUGGGGAAUUUUGGACAAUGGGGGCAACCCUGAUCCAGCCAUGCCGCGUGCGGGAAGAAGGCCUUCGGGUUGUAAACCGCUUUUAGCCGGGAAGAAAAGGCCACGGAUAACACCCGUGGUUUUUGACGGUACCGGCGGAAUAAGCACCGGCUAACUACGUGCCAGCAGCCGCGGUAAUACGUAGGGUGCGAGCGUUAAUCGGAAUUACUGGGCGUAAAGCGUGCGCAGGCGGUUCGUUGUGUCGGCGGUGAAAGCCCCGGGCUUAACCUGGGAAUGGCCGUUGAAACUGGCGAACUGGAGUGUGGCAGAGGGGGGUGGAAUUCCGCGUGUAGCAGUGAAAUGCGUAGAGAUGCGGAGGAACACCGAUGGCGAAGGCAGCCCCCUGGGCUAACACUGACGCUCAGGCACGAAAGCGUGGGGAGCAAACAGGCUUAGAUACCCCGGUAGC
rnacentral:rRNA from 1 species